UACGUAGGGGGCAAGCGUUGUCCGGAUUUAUUGGGCGUAAAGAGCGUGUAGGCGGCCAGGUAGGUCGGUUGUGAAAACUCGAGGCUCAACCUCGAGACGCCGAUGGAAACCAUCUGGCUAGAGUCCGGAAGAGGAGAGUGGAAUUCCUGGUGUAGCGGUGAAAUGCGCAGAUAUCAGGAAGAACACCCGUGGCUAAGGCGGCUCUCUAGUACGGUACUGACGCUGAGACGCGAAAGCGUGGGGAGCAAACAGG
rnacentral:rRNA from 1 species